UAAAUUUUAGCAAAGAUGGUCAAGUGAGCAAGUACAGUUGUCUACUAUGCAUUGAAACACUGUAUAUUUCAGGAUGGAUACUUUAUAUAUUUUUAUUGAUUUGUUUAUAUUUAAUUCUUCGAUUGCCAUAAAAUUAUAUUAGCAUACUUUUUACUUAUUGGACAAGGCUUGAUUUGAAUUACGGGGAGACUAUGUGUUAUUAACAAAAUGUAGUUAGUUAUAUGUUUCAAAUAAUUUUAGCUUCUGGUUAAAGUAAACCUGAUUUUAUGGUGGUGGUAUUUUUGCAUACACUAGCAUUGAAACUCUCUCCUAGGACAAUUAAAAUUGAGAUAUCUGGACAGAUUUUCUAAUGAAGGAUUAAUACUGUACACUUCUAUUUCUUUGGUUUGCUUUUACAUUUGUAUCCUUUGUCAUGCUAUUCUGUAAGUCUUUUUUCAAAUGCUAUAUUGAUAACCCCCUUUCCAACAAGUCCUUUGCAAUGCUGAGUGCUUUGCUUGUUUUGUGCUCUUGCCACUUCUCCUCCUACAGAUUAAACCCCUUACAUAGAAGCAGUUGAUAGCAGUACCUGACAUGAUGGGAGCACUCAGAAAAAAGGAGCAUUUUGUAAAGCUCGGAAUCUCAGGCAAGAAUGUAAUUUCACUGUUGAUAAAACACAAACACAACAACCCAAAGCUGCAAAGCAAAACUAAAGAAAUGUAGCCAAUUCAACCAAGCAAUACGAAUCUAGAUGGAUAAAGAUCUGACACCACCUAGACUGAGAAAAGUGACCUUGCUAUAAAUUCAUAAACUACAUUCUUUUAGUGUUCCUUUUCAUUUUUGUUUGAUAUAUUCCUAAAGAUUGUUGCCUACAUGAGUUCACUGAAUUGCAAAUAUUUGGCAUAAAUUACCCCUUCUCAUGGUUCUACAGAAUAGUUGAAUGGUAAAAGAUAGAGAAUUUCAAUUGCUUCAUGGAACAACCUACAUGUAAAAGGACUGUCAGAGUAUAGUUAUAAGAGAUAAGAAAUAGAGGAAGAACAAACUGAGUUCCUGUUACUAAUAAAACUGUUGCAGUUAAAAUUGAUUGGAAAAGUAAAACAUUUCAAAGGCUUGCAUUUCAUUGUAUAUUAAGAUGCAGUCCAUCGAUAAUAAUGGCUCUUCAGAGCAUGCUUUUUUCUUCAUAGAUUAAUUUCCUAAAACAAGUAGAAAUUAUAAAUUUGUCUCAGCAAUAUGUUUCAUGUCUUGUAGACCAGAAAAUUCUCUUUAGCUGGAUGACUUCAGUGUUACAGAAGCUGUAUAUAACAAAGUAAAAGGAAAGGAGUCAGGGAGGAGAAAAGAACAAUAACGAGGAGAAACUCAUCAUUUUUUCUUCUACCUCUGAAUGGGGGUUGGUAUCUCUCUAGGAAACAAGGUGCUUGAGUUCCCUUGAGGCAAAAGAGAAUAAAUUGCCAGUAGCAGACAAGGUGAAUGCAAUUGUAUAUAAGUGAACCAAAGUAAAUGUCUAGAUAGGAAGACUAGGAACAGGACAAACUUAAAUAACCACACCCUGUAAUAUCCUCUGAAGAUGGAACUAUUUUUGUGUGAAAGAAUUCCUCAGCUCAAGUACCGUUGCCCUAUUGUAAUCUUGAACCUCUCCUUUGAAGGAGGAAACAAUAAGGUUUUCUAUGGAACAAUUGCCAUAUCACAAUUCAAUUAUAAGAUUCAGAGAGAUUUAUAAAACUGCCAUAAAUGCCAGUGGCAUUUAUGUAGCCUGAGCUACAGCAGGUCACUUGGCUGAAGCAGUGAGGAGGUGAGGAAAACAGCAAUAAUCAUGGUUUCACUCUAUCCCAACAUCUUCAUCUGGCCACAUGGGAUGUAUAUCAAGUCAAGGCAUCAUCAGUGGCUUGAUAAGGAAAAUCAUAUAUCAGUAUUUAGAUUAUAAAUACUUUACUGCAGUUGAGCUCCUGAAAUUUGAAUGACAGGUUUCCUAAUGACUCUAGCAUCAGGAGAAAGAAAAUUAAACUUACCUUUGAUGUCCUUGGAUUGAACAGAAGAAGCUGGAAACUGUCUGGCGUAAAUUGACGUAAAUUGGAGCUGCAGCAUGUGUUGGAGUUGUUAGGUAGAAAAUAUUCAUUAUCCUCAUUAAGAAUUCAGCCUUACUCCAUAAAUAUCAUAGUCCUGUCUCCUAGAUUCUGUGAUGGUUAUUUGAAUUUGAAUAAAUGGUCUACUCUUCAUACCAAUAUGAUUGAGACAGCCAUUGGAGAUUCCUCUUUUCCUUUCGUCCUUCCAAAGAAAAGGAAGGCACAGAAAAAGACAACAGUAAAAGUUGCUACUGAACAUUAAUAGCAAUAUGAAAUAUAAAGAUCUACUGGGUCUGUUACCGGAUAAUUCUCUAUUUAUUGACUUGAUAUCAGAGGUAUAUUGUCUGUUUUGAAUAAAUAAUAAUUGUAU